UACGUAGGGCGCAAGCGUUGUCCGGAAUUACUGGGCGUAAAGCGCACGUAGGCGGCUUUGCAAGUCAGAGGUGAAAGCCCGGGGCUCAACCCCGGAAUAGCCUUUGAGACUGCAUCGCUAGAAUUGUGGAGAGGUAAGUGGAAUUCCGAGUGUAGAGGUGAAAUUCGUAGAUAUUCGGAAGAACACCAGUGGCGAAGGCGACUUACUGGACACAUAUUGACGCUGAGGUGCGAAAGCGUGGGGAGCAAACAGG
rnacentral:rRNA from 1 species